rnacentral:rRNA from 1 species
UACGGAGGGUGCAAGCGUUAUCCGGAUUUACUGGGUUUAAAGGGUGCGUAGGUGGGUAGGAAAGUCAGUGGUGAAAUCUUCGGGCUUAACCCGGAAACUGCCAUUGAUACUAUUUAUCUUGAAUACUUUGGAGGUAAGCGGAAUAUGUCAUGUAGCGGUGAAAUGCUUAGAUAUGACAUAGAACACCCAUUGCGAAGGCAGCUUACUACACGAUCAUUGACGCUGAGGCACGAAAGCGUGGGGAGCAAACAGG